AUUGAACGCUGGCGGCAGGCCUAACACAUGCAAGUCGAACGAGUGGCGGACGGGUGAGUAAUGUCUGGGCAACUUCCUGAUGGAGGGGGAUAACUACUGGAAACGUUAGCUAAUACCGCAUACCGUCCUUUGUGCCCAGAUGGGAAUAGCUCGUUGCUGGGGGAACGGCUCAUCAAGGCGACGAUCCCUAGCUGGUCUGAUAGGAUGACGAGCCACACUGGAACUGAGACACGGGCCAGACUCCGACGGGAGGCAGCAGUGGGGAAUAUUGCACAAUGGGCGCAAGCCUGAUGCAGCGAUGCCGCGUGUAUGAAGAAGGCCUUCGGGUUGUAAAGUACUUUCAGCGGGGAGGCGUUACCCGCAGAAGAAGCACCGGCUAACUCCGUGCCAGCAGCCGCGGUAAUAC
rnacentral:rRNA from 1 species